rnacentral:lncRNA from 1 species
AACAAAUCAAAACAAACGUUGGAGAAAUGAAAGCAAAUUACAUAAAAAUUUAAGAAAAUGUCUCGCAAACGUAUCACUUGAUGUGCGAUGUGGAUGGCGUUCAUCUCACUGCUUCCACCAUCAUCGGCCUCGACAGCAGCAUCUUGGUCCAGUGUGCCGCCGUCCCUCAGGUCGCUAAUUUUCGUUUGCUAAAUUGUAAUUUUUAUUUGUUAUUUGAUCGAAUCACAUUCAUACAUAGGGCUUGAGUUUUUGUUGCAAAGGCAUUUUAUCAAGAGUUGAUUUUGGUAUGAAUUUAGCAUUGAAGAGCGUUGUAAGAUCCCUGUCAAAGAUGUGGUGGUGUGGAAUUGGGUCGAGAUCCUCGCCCUAGUAUGGAUAAAUGGUGCAUUGGGCUCUCAUCCAUUAAAAUGAAUCACAACUCUAUUGGACAAUGAAUCAAGGAUCCACUAUCACUUGGGUCGGUGAUGAUGAAUGAAAGCAUUAUUCCUUUUAUAUGUUGUGAAUGAUUAUUCAAGGUGUAUAAAGAUGUGCGCUCGUGAAAUUAUGGAUUCAUUUUUUGUUGUGGUCUUUUGUUAAUGAGAGUACAUGCCUAUCUAUAUACAGAUAACUCGAGGAGAUUGCUAAUAUAGUAAAGGAUUUCGAAGGGCCAGGCUCCUACUGGGCUACACCUACAUGGUGAUUCAAGGAGCUGUCAUCCGUGGAAAGAAGGUGCUUUAUCUAGCUGUAUCGAAAAUUUGAGAUUCAUAUGCAAAAUGUUAGAAUUUAGCAGUCCAUUAUGCAGAUAAUUUUAGUAUCUUGUGAUCGAUUCUUGACCAAGCAUUUGAUCUCGUCUGGAUUGCAUGUAUUUUUGACGAUUGUGUUAAGUAUUACGAUUGGGGAAUUUCAACACUUCGUAAAUAUGAAAAAAAAUUUUGUUGGCU